rnacentral:tRNA from 1 species
GCGGGUGUGGCGGAACGGCAGACGCGGCAGACUCAAAAUCUGCUUCCCGUAAGGGAGUGGGGGUUCAAGUCCCUUCACCCGCACCA